rnacentral:rRNA from 1 species
GACGAGGGGGGCUAGCGUUGUUCGGAAUUACUGGGCGUAAAGCGCGUGUAGGCGGUUAUCCAAGUCGGGUGUGAAAGCCUUGAGCUUAACUCAAGAAAUGCACUCGGUACUGGGUGACUAGAGGACCGGAGAGGAUAGUGGAAUUCCCAGUGUAGUGGUGAAAUACGUAGAGAUUGGGAAGAACACCAGUGGCGAAGGCGGCUAUCUGGACGGUUUCUGACGCUAAGACGCGAAAGCGUGGGGAGCAAACAGG